CCUACGGGGGGCAGCAGUGGGGAAUAUUGCGCAAUGGGCGAAAGCCUGACGCAGCGACGCCGCGUGAGGGAUGAAGGUCUUCGGAUCGUAAACCUCUGUCAGCAGGGACGAACGGUCACUGGGCUAAUCAGCAGUGAAUUGACGGUACCUGCAAAGGAAGCACCGGCUAACUCCGUGCCAGCAGCCGCGGUAAUACGGAGGGUGCGAGCGUUAAUCGGAAUUACUGGGCGUAAAGCGCUCGUAGGCGGUAUGUCAAGUCAAGGGUGAAAUCCCCGCGCUCAACGGGGGAACUGCCUUUGAAACUGGCAAACUGGAGUGUGUGAGAGGAUAGUGGAAUUCCAGGUGUAGGAGUGAAAUCCGUAGAUAUCUGGAGGAACAUCAGUGGCGAAGGCGACUAUCUGGAACAUAACUGACGCUGAGGAGCGAAAGCGUGGGUAGCAAACAGGAUUAGAUACCCGAGUAGUC
rnacentral:rRNA from 1 species